UGAUAGAGGUGCGGAACAGAUCAGUAGCGCGUCCAUAACGGUCUGCGGAGACCGGCUGCGCGAAAGGCUUACCGCCGAAGAAUGCACGAUCCGUGGUGUGCAUAUCUGGCUGCACGUUGAACAGGCGUCCGGCUGUCAUCGGUCUGAUGGAGAGCUAUCGC
rnacentral:ncRNA from 1 species